UACGUAGGGUGCGAGCGUUGUCCGGAAUUACUGGGCGUAAAGAGCUUGUAGGCGGUUUGUCGCGUCUGCUGUGAAAAUCCGGGGCUCAACCCCGGACUUGCAGUGGGUACGGGCAGACUAGAGUGUGGUAGGGGAGACUGGAAUUCCUGGUGUAGCGGUGAAAUGCGCAGAUAUCAGGAGGAACACCGAUGGCGAAGGCAGGUCUCUGGGCCACUACUGACGCUGAGAAGCGAAAGCAUGGGGAGCGAACAGG
rnacentral:rRNA from 1 species